CCUACGGGUGGCAGCAGUGGGGAAUAUUGCACAAUGGGGGAAACCCUGAUGCAGCGACGCCGCGUGAGUGAUGACGGCCUUCGGUUUGUAAAGCUCUAUCUGCAGGGACGAUAAUGACGGUACCUGAGGAAGAAGCCACGGCUAACUACGUGCCAGCAGCCGCGGUAAUACGUAGGCGGCGAGCGUUGUCCGGGUGUACUGGGAGUAAAGGGAGCGUAGGAGGACUUGUAAGUCUGAUGUGAAAUACUCGGGAUCAACUCGGGUACUGCAUUUCAAACUGGAAGUCUAGAGUGCAGGAGAGGAGAAUAGAAUUCCUGGUGGAGCGGUGAAAUGCGUAGAGAUUAGGAGGAACACCAGUGGCGAAGGCGAUUCUCUGGACUGUAACUGACGCUGAGGCUCGAAAGCGUGGGGAGCAAACAGGAUUAGAUACCCCAGUAGUC
rnacentral:rRNA from 1 species